rfam:Felis catus isolate Cinnamon breed Abyssinian chromosome E2, whole genome shotgun sequence.
GCCCAAGGGGCUCAGUCAGUUAAGCAUCUGACUUCGGCUCAGGUCACGCAAAUUGUGGGUUCAAGCCCCAUGUCGGGCU